AUUGAACGCUGGCGGCAUGCUUUACACAUGCAAGUCGAACGGUAACAGGCCGCAAGGUGCUGACGAGUGGUGAACGGGUGAGUAAUGCAUCGGAACGUGCCCAGUCGUGGGGGAUAACGCAGCGAAAGCUGUGCUAAUACCGCAUACGAUCUAUGGAUGAAAGCGGGGGACCGUAAGGCCUCGCGCGAUUGGAGCGGCCGAUGUCAGAUUAGCUAGUUGGUGGGGUAAAGGCCAACCAAGGCGACGAUCUGUAGCUGGUCUGAGAGGACGACCAGCCACACUGGGACUGAGACACGGCCCAGACUCCUACGGGAGGCAGCAGUGGGGAAUUUUGGACAAUGGGCGCAAGCCUGAUCCAGCAAUGCCGCGUGCAGGAAGAAGGCCUUCGGGUUGUAAACUGCUUUUGUACGGAACGAAACGGUCUGGGUUAAUACCCUGGGCUAAUGACGGUACCGUAAGAAUAAGCACCGGCUAACUACGUGCCAGCAGCCGCGGUAACAC
rnacentral:rRNA from 1 species